UACGUAGGGGGCUAGCGUUGUCCGGAAUCAUUGGGCGUAAAGCGCGCGUAGGCGGCCCGGUAAGUCCGCUGUGAAAAGUCCAGGGCUCAACCCUGGAAAGCCGGUGGAUACUUGCCGGGCUAGAGUCCGGGAGAGGCGAGUGGAAUUCUAGUGUAGAGGUGAAAUUCGUAGAUAUUAGGAAGAACACCAGUGGCGAAGGCGGACUCACUGGCCCGGUACUGGACGCGUGACGGCGGCGAAAGCCGUGGGGAGCAAAGCAGGAAGUU
rnacentral:rRNA from 1 species